rnacentral:piRNA from 1 species
UGAACUUCCAUUUUAUUUUGCAAGCAUGAA